CAAUUGAGAUUCCCUCAGUAGCGGCGAGCGAACGGGGAUCAGCCCAUUAAGUUAUGUGUGUUUUAGUGGAACGCUCUGGGAAGUGCGAACGUAGAGGGUGAUAUUCCCGUACACGAAAGGGCACACAUAAUGAUGACGAGUAGGGCGAGGCACGUGAAACCUUGUCUGAAUAUGGGGGGACCAUCCUCCAAGGCUAAAUACUCCUGACUGACCGAUAGUGAACCAGUACCGUGAGGGAAAGGCGAAAAGAACCCCUGUGAGGGGAGUGAAAUAGAUCCUGAAACCGCAUGCAUACAAGCAGUGGGAGCACCUUCGUGGUGUGACUGCGUACCUUUUGUAUAAUGGGU
rnacentral:rRNA from 1 species